GUUUUAAUAGUUUAAAAUAAAAAUAAUGAUCUUGUAAAUCAUAGAUAGGAUUAACCUUUAAAACU
rnacentral:tRNA from 1 species